UACGGGAGGCAGCAGUAGGGAAUCUUCCGCAAUGGACGAAAGUCUGACGGAGCAACGCCGCGUGAGUGAUGAAGGCUUUCGGGUCGUAAAACUCUGUUGUUAGGGAAGAACAAGUGCUAGUUGAAUAAGCUGGCACCUAGACGGUACCUAACCAGAAAGCCACGGCUAACUACAUGCCAGCAGCCGCGGUAAU
rnacentral:rRNA from 1 species